rnacentral:ncRNA from 1 species
AAUAUUUAGCGCCUGGACACUUUUAUAUAAGUGUUGACGAGGUUCAAGGUUAUCGAAAUAUUCGGCGGAUGCCUUGAUGGCUUUCACUUAUGGUCAUUAGUAUUGAUAAAAAAAGCAAUAGUAAUGUUGUAACAAAAAUUAAUACAU